AAGUUUGAUCCUGGCUCAGAAUGAACGCUGACGACAUGCCUUAUACAUGCAAGUCGGACGAAAAGUGGUGUUUCCAGUGACAAAUGGGUGAGUAAAGUGUAAGAACCUACCAUUUGGAGAGAAACAACAUUUGGAAACUACUGUUAAUACCUGUAGGUUGAGGAGCAGAAAGAGGUUGAGGAACAGAAAGAGGAAUGCGCCUGAAGAAGGACUGUGUCUGAUUAACUAGUUGUUGAGACAAUAACUUAUCAAGGUGAUGAUCAGUAACGGAUCUAAGAGAAUAAACAGUCACACUAAGAUUAAGACAUGACCUAAACUCCUACAGGAGACAACAAUGAAAACUUUUCCGCAAUAAACAAAAGCAUGACAAAGCAAUACUGCAUGAAAGUAAAAAACCUACGGUUCAUGAACUUCUUUUCCGGAAGAAGAAACAAUGAAAGUCUCCUAUACAUAUAAAUAAAAUUUAAAUAAAAUACUUGGAGUAAUAAAUAUUAAUAGUAUUUUUU
rnacentral:ncRNA from 1 species